AGAAAAACAGCAGGUAGGACAUCUGCCACUUCUGAUUGGUCUUCUGCGAACGACAACGUUAUUGGAGGAACGAAGAUUGAGUAAGCAACUUCUGGAACGUGAUUGGUAGAGAUGACUCCGGAUGUGCUUGACUGAGCACUGAUUGGAGAACGGAGGGGUCAGGAAGAGCAGUUCGGUCCGAGGAUUGGCAGUGGAGUAUCCCAUGGAAACAGAACACCAGAACUGCGGCCAGGGACUUCGCACUGAGGGGGUGGGGGGCGGGGCAGGCGCUCCUCCAGGCGCCUGCGCGAAACAGGCUUCUCGGCGCCAUUUUGUCCCGGCAGCAGUGGUCGCAGCGCUUUCGCGUUUUCUGUUUCUGGUGUGCUCGGAGCAGAAUGCCUUUCCCCGCCUUUUUCCGAGUGACUCAUUUUAGUGUGGUACCCAUCCACUGUUCACCCCGAGACAGCACCUAGCAGAGGUAGGGGGGAGUCGCAGAGCCGUCUGAAAGGUGAGCCGAAGGCUAUGCUUAUCCAGGCGACCGGAGGAUGGCGCAGCUCCGGCGGCGGCACCGGCACCGGAAAUGAAGGAGCCGGAGGCGGCCAUGGUGAAUUGUGUGAAGAUUAUGCAUGUCAGUGGCACAUGCUCCAGUAUGUUAGAGGAUCCCAUACAGGGCCAGCCUAUGACUGAUCUUUUUCCUGUGCCUCCUACAGUUGGAACCAUGGCAUGCACCAGUCUCUGUGAAUAACAGAAAAAAAAGCAAAUGGAUAAUAUCAGAUAAGUGCUUUUAUUAUCAAAAUACAUUUGACAAUAUGGAAUCUUCAAACCAAAACUUUGUUCUUUACAAUACUUUUUUUUCAAGUGCCAGUUUAAGACAACUGCCAGAACAAGGUACUUUAUCAUAAAAUAAAUGUAUUCAUGUUAAAGUAAAAAAUGUACUUUGCUGGCUUUUU